rnacentral:rRNA from 1 species
GAUGAACGCUGGCGGCGUGCCUAAUACAUGCAAGUCGUGCGGAAAGGCCACUUCGGUGGUACUCGAGCGGCGGACGGCAGAGUAACGCGUAGGAACAUACCCCAAACUGAGGCAUAACUGCUCGAAAGAGCAGCUAAUACCGCAUGUGAUCUUCGGAUUAAAGCUUCGGCGGUUUGGGAAUGGCCUGCGUCCGAUUAGCUAGUUGGUGAGGUAAAUGCUCACCAAGGCUUCGAUCGGUAGCUGGUCUGAGAGGAUGAUCAGCCUGACUGGAACUGAGAACGGUCCAGACUCCUACGGGAGGCAGCAGUAGGGAAUUUUCCACAAUGGGCGAAAGCCUGAUGGAGCAACGCCGCGUGCAGGAUGAAUGCCUUCGGGUUGUAAACUGCUUUUAUAGUGAAGAAUAUGACGGUAACUAAUGAAUAAGGGUCGGCUAACUAACGUGCCAGCAG